rnacentral:rRNA from 1 species
AUUGAACGCUAGCGGGAUGCCUUACACAUGCAAGUCGAACGGAGUGGCGAACGGGUGAGUAAUGUAUCGGAACGUGCCCAGUAGCGGGGGAUAACUACGCGAAAGCGUAGCUAAUACCGCAUACUCUUGGAGCGGCCGAUAUCGGAUUAGCUAGUUGGUGGGGUAAAGGCCUACCAAGGCGACGAUCCGUAACUGGUCUGAGAGGAUGAUCAGUCAAACUGGAACUGAGACACGGUCCAGACUCCUACGGGAGGCAGCAGUGGGGAAUAUUGGACAAUGGGCGAAAGCCUGAUCCAGCCAUGCCGCGUGUGUGAAGAAGGUCUUCGGGUUGUAAAGCACUUUCAGCGGGGAGGCGUUACCCGCAGAAGAAGCACCGGCUAACUCCGUGCCAGCAGCCGCGGUAAUAC